ensembl:lncRNA
UGCCUAUAGGCCAUCUGUAUGAGACUGUUCCUUCUUGAUGCAGGUGUGUAAUGGGAAGAAUAAAUUAAAAUUAGUUUUCAAUAGGUGUUCUCAUGACGAAGCUGGUUUCUCUCCGUGCAUCCCGCCUGCCACCAACGUUAGACCAUGUGGCUUAGUGCCCCCAGGAACAAUGACACAGGGGAAGUCCUCUCUCAUAAAAAGAAGCACUUUAGAGGAAGAGAGUGAGGACCUAAGAGGAAGGCAAAGAUGCCUGUGUUCUUUCACUUCUGCCUCCUGUUGGGACUAUUCAUGGAAAACCAGGGACUACAGUGUCAACAAAGGAGGCCUUGAGCUUAGUUACUUUCCAGGCAAAGGAAGUAGUGUGUGCAGCAGCAGACACAUUUUCUGAGGGGAAGAUCAGAGGGUUUUAUGCAGUGGAAAGGGCGGAGGCCUUGGCACUUAUGCUAAUUCAUGUUUGGAAGCUUGUACUCCAGCAAAGUCAGAAUGCAUCCAUUCAUUGGUGUGUGGUUGGUUAAAACAAGUCCUGCUGUUCACUGGUCAGGAAGGAACCCUCAGUUGAGUGCAGUAAGGGUCUGAUGAACUGGGGUCACUCAGAGGUCUUAGUAGUUUAUCAUCUUUUAUUAGUGGUGGUGAUGGUGGUGAGGUUGCUAAAGGUCAUGAUUGUUUUAGAGCUCUAGCGGUUAAAACCAGUUGUGAAACAAAGCAUAUGCAACUGUAAGAACAAGAUAUUUUUUCCCUCCUAUAUAGAUAAAAGCUUGAGGAUAUAGAACAGGCUGUGCUAGAAAUAUGCUGCCAGGAACAGGGAGCCUGAGAACACUGGGGCUUGUGGCCUGUUGCCUCACCUACAGCUCCUGGGAGGCUGCAGGCCUCUGCAGGCCAAGGAGAAGCUGGCUUUGGCUUGGGAGCUGUAGCAUCCUGGCCUUGGGGAUGACCAUGGUCUGAGGCAGAGCCUCCGGGUCCCUGCAACCUGGUGCCCAUGGGACUCUUGGAGGCAAUGACUGUGCACCAAAGGUCACAAGGGACCCGUCGUGCCCCAGCAGAUGCCAAGUCAGGACUGGAUCAGACCAGCCACCUGCAAGGAGAGGGGCUGGCUCUGUCAGCCACAGACCUUCUUUCUCAUUUGGAGAGAAGAAAUAAACAGAUCUUUCUCUCUUUUAAAAAAAGACUUACCCAAAGACACUCUUUAAAAGGGAAGAGACUGAGAUAUUAUUAAUUGGCAAGUUUGUUUUUGCCCCCACACUCCUCAAUGGGGUGUGAACUUGGAGGAAGAACAGUUAUAGGAAAUAAAGGCGCUACAUUUUCCUUAAAAAACAGAGUGGUAAUGUGCAAAUUUGCAAUCCUGCUAUAUACAUAUAAUUUAAUAUUUAUAUGGAAACAUUUAAACCUAAUGUUCAGUAAUUUGGAAGAGAAUAAACCGUUAAAUUCCAUUUAAGUGUCUUUAUCACAUAUCACCAUUCCUGCCUUCUGUCUAAUCCACUUAUGUGGCUAUAAAACUGCAAACAAGCC